UUGCAGCAUGACUGGUUUUUCAUAUGCCUUUUCCUACUGAUUUUUCUUCAGUUUUGGUUGCAAUAAUGAUGUUGCUUCCUGUUUCUCAUCCUGUACAUGCUGGCCAUUCUGUGUUAUGUCUUGUUUUGUCUGUUCACAGAUCUGUAGAUUAGAUCCUUUUUCUUUUAUGUUUAGUCUAUUCGUCUAGAUCAAUAUGGUCCGUCUGUGCAAUUUGUUCUUAGCCCAUACAAAGUCUCUUUUUUUAUUUCUUUGUUUUCAUUGAGAGCUUUGUCCUCUUGCUUACUGCAGGAAUUGCCGUCCUUUGCUAUUUAUGUGGUUUAGUCUCUGAUAUGGUCACAUCUUUUGUCAGGUCUUGCAGAGUUGGGAGUCCUGGACAUACCCUGUGUCUAAUACUCAGAAUUGUAGCUGAUUUUGUCUAUCAGAUAAAGCAUGCCAUAUGUCUUCUACUUUAGAGUUCAUAAUUGAUAUGCUAUAUACUUCUUGCUAUGAAUCUAGCUUUGUGUAUUACUUAGUGUUUCUUGAUAUAGGUCUGAAGAAACUAUGAAUUUACCUAUAUAUACUGAUGUUCAUGUCCUGAUGGAUGCAUGUUCUGCUUCUCAGGUUGUCUUGUUCUCUUAUCACGCUCGAUUUGCUUAUGUGAUGUAGUCCUAUUAACUCUCUACAGGGAUAACAAGAUGUCUGCAUCCCGGAAAUUUUGGAUUUGAACGCUUCAUUGUAAGAUGAUGAGAUAUGUGAUUUAAUUUCGCUUGGCGAGGAGAAGAGAAGAGAAGAUAAAUAGGCAGAUCUAUGGGAAAAUUCUGAAAUACAUGUAUCUGGGGAACGAAAUAGUUUCUGCUCGCCCAUCAAAUGUAUGCCAAUUGCAAGAUAAGAAUAUACAGGAUCCUACUCCUAGGAUACAUGGUUUCAUAAAUUUACUCACCUAUUUGCUUUUGCCCGAAGUAUUUUGAAUAGCUUGAUUUGGUGGUGUCUUGGAAAUGAGUCAUUGCGUUUUAAAUUUAGCUAAAGAUUAUUAUAUUUAGCAAUAACAAGCUAUGUUUAAAGAGAUCGUUAAGAUCUAUUAGAAACAUUAGGAGUAUAUAUAUCUCCUUAGGGUCUUCCCUUUCUGCCCCAAAACAAUAUUGACUGAGUUGAGAUGUACGUAUGCACUGAAGCAUUUAGGCAUUCAAAAUGAGCUACACAUGCUUUUAAUCUUUUCAGCUUGCUUCAGGUUUGUAGGAGAAGGUUUCAGUAGCAAGUCGUUGGACCUCGACAGGGCCGGCUGGAUGGACUUGCUGGUGUUUGAUACUUUUAUUCUUCGCAGAUUUGCUCUGUUCAGUUGUAUCUAAAGCCUAAAGAUGCUCUAUUAAACACAUGUGACCAUUUCCAACAUUUGAGAAAAACUAUUCUGGUCCAUUUGCAACAUGUGAACUAAGCCAGAAAAGAUUUAGAAAUUAAAGAAGCGUAAAAUCCAAGACCAUUUACAUCAGAAAGUUCCUAUUGAGAUGGCAUGGUAUGCCUUUGCCUAAUUGCCUUUUCAGUAAUAUCGGAAUGUUGUUAUUGAGCUUUGUGUAGCCUGGAGCUUUGAUUUAACUAAUCUGUGCCAGCCUAUCCAAUUGACAUAAUAAGCCCAUAGUUUAAGUCUUCAGCAGUGCUUCUGAGUUCUGUCUUCAUGGUUCAGUUGUGGUGCAAGAUGCCAGCAUAUACUCCUCAGGUUGUUCUAUCUUCUUCAGAUUAGCGGCUAAUAAAAAAAAAGUCCCAGAGUUUAUACUAUCGAUGUUGAUACCUUUCCCUGAAGUAACAGAAGGCUAAAGUGAGUCAUAUUGCAAUUUGGGGUUAUUCUUCAGGACCUAAAGUGGAUUCUUUUGCUCUACAGUUGUGCAUUCAAAUAAUUUUGGUUCAGGCGAGUGUUUGGAUCCCUGAACAAUGAUGCUCUUCCUUUAAUUGCUUGCAUCAUUCUUGUGUUAGCUUGUUUGGUCCGUCAUUGAAAAUAUCCCAGGUCCAAUAGGGAAACAUCAACACAUUGAUCCAGUUUGUUGAUGGAUAUUAGUUCACCAUUGACUUUAACCGUCAAAUGUUAAAUCUUCAUAGAUGGAUGGUGGGAGCAAUCAUUUGGACUCUUCAAAAGCAAUUCUCAGAUGUAUAACAUGUUUUUCAAAUCUCAUUGUUUCUUAUUUUUUGGUUCUUUUAGGUUCUCAUGGCAUAUGUUUGGCAACUUAUUGUAAAACCUAAGAAAACUUAUUACGAAGAGUAUCUGUAAGCGAUCGUUGAUGCGGA